UUACUGGUUUUCCUGGUUUAACUGGAGGUUAUCCUGGUGUGUUUCUGCUGGAUCUGAGUGCCGGUUGUUUCUCCUGGAUGAUAAACCCUGAUGAGGAUGAAGGACGGCGUUCAUGCAGCGGUGAAGCGUGAAACGACCUCUGAAACGACCUCUGAAAUGACCUCUGAAAUGACCUCUGGAACCGAGCCGAGCCGAGUGUGAACCGUCUCCGAGUUCCUCUUCAGCUGAGAUCUGAGACACAGCGACAACAGAGUGGAGGAAGCAGAAGAGGAAGCAGAAGAGGACGCAGAAGAGGAAGCAGACGAGGUGCGUCAGCGACGUGAAGGUCCUCGCAGGAGAGUCUUCUAACCAAUCAGGAGGGGCGAGGGUCGAGUGAAAGGAUCGGGGAUCGAGUGAAAGGAUCAAGGAUCGAGUGAAAGGAUCGAGGAUCGAGUGAAAGGAUCGGGGA